GCGGAGGAAAAGAAACCAACAGGAUUGCCUAGUAACGGCGAGUGAAGCGGCAACAGCUCAAAUUUGAAAGCUGGCCUUCGGGUCCGCAUUGUAAUUUGUAGAGGAUGCUUUGGGGCAGCCGCCUGUCUAAGUUCCUUGGAACAGGACGUCAUAGAGGGUGAGAAUCCCGUAUGUGACAGGACAUGGCACCCUAUGUAAAGCUCCUUCGACGAGUCGAGUUGUUUGGGAAUGCAGCUCUAAAUGGGAGGUAAAUUUCUUCUAAAGCUAAAUAUUGGCGAGAGACCGAUAGCGCACAAGUAGAGUGAUCGAAAGAUGAAAAGCACUUUGGAAAGAGAGUUAAAAAGCACGUGAAAUUGUUGAAAGGGAAGCGCUUGCAAUCAGACUUGUUUAAACUGUUCGGCCGGUCUUCUGACCGGUUUACUCAGUUUGGGCAGGCCAGCAUCAGUUUUGGCGGCCGGAUAAAGGCCUAGGGAAUGUGGCCCUCGCUUCGGCGGGGGUGUUAUAGCCCUGGGUGUAAUACGGCCAGCCGGGACUGAGGUCCGCGCUUCGGCUAGGAUGCUGGCGUAAUGGUUGUAAGCGACCCGU
rnacentral:rRNA from 1 species